AUAUACACAAGGAUCCACCAUACUAUUACAAGUCCCCACCACCACCUUCACCAUCUCCUCCACCACCAUACUACUACAAAUCUCCCCCACCCCCUUCACCGUCUCCUCCACCACCAUACUACUACAAAUCUCCUCCUCCUCCAUCUCCUAUUCCCAAAACACCUUACUACUACAAAUCUCCCCCACCCCCUUCACCAUCUCCUCCACCACCAUACUACUACAAAUCUCCCCCACCCCCUUCACCGUCUCCUCCACCACCAUACUACUAUAAAUCUCCCCCACCACCGUCACCCUCUCCACCACCACCUUACUAUUACAAGUCUCCUCCCCCACCUUCACCAUCUCCUCCACCACCAUACUACUACAAAUCUCCUCCUCCUCCAUCUCCUAUUCCCCAUACACCUUACUAUUACAAAUCUCCCCCACCACCUUCACCAUCUCCUCCACCACCAUACUACUACAAAUCUCCUCCUCCUCCAUCUCCUAUUCCCCGUACACCUUACUAUUACAAAUCUCCCCCACCACCUUCACCAUCUCCUCCACCACCAUACUACUACAAAUCCCCUCCUCAUCCAUCUCCCAUUCCCCAUACACCUUACUAUUACACAUCUCCCCCACCACCUUCACCGUCUCCUCCACCACCAUAUUACUACAAAUCUCCUCCCCCUCCGUCUCCUAUUCCCCACACACCUUACUACUACAAGUCCCCACCACCACCAAAGGUCCUUCCACCACCAUACUAUUACAAUUCUCCUCCUCCACCUGUUGUGUAUCCUCACCCAUAUCCCUACCACCACUCACUUAUUGUGAGGGUAGUCGGUAAAGUCUACAGCUUCAGAUGUUAUGAUUGGAAUUAUCCUGCAAAGUCUCAUAACAAGAAACAUCUCAAAGGUACAUUACAUUUCUUAGGACCGGACCUCUUUAGAGUAAUGUGUUUAGAGAUAAUGCACAAUUUUUUAUUUUUUUAUCUCGUAAAGGUUUAUUUAUUAUAAUCACAAUUUCACUUUUGUCAAAAAGAAAAACAAUUUUACUAUAUAUAGUUUUAAUCAUUAACAUUUUGAUGUAAAAAGAAUACAAUUCUCUAUUACCUUUUUACUAUGAUAUAUAUACAAAGAUUAUUCAAAUCUAUAUAUCCAACCUAAUUUCCAUCCAAAAAAAUAGAAAACAUAGGGUGCUUUGAACGCCUGCAGCAUCACAUGAAUAAAUAAAAACAAUCAAUAAUCAACCUUGUUCUAAUUUAUUUUAGACAGCGAUUGUUAAGCAUACUGCUCUUUUAAUUACAUUUUUUUUAAAGAUGCUCUUUUAAUUAUAUUGUCCUAAUAUAAUAUGUGUCUUUAUAUAUUACUUGUCGUAAACUAAUUUUAUUAUGGGUGCAGGAGCUGUUGUUGAGGUGACAUGCAAAGCCGGGAGCAAAAUUGUCAAGGCUUAUGGAAAAACUAAGAACAAUGGAAAGUAUGCCAUCACAGUUAAGGACUUUGACUAUGUCAAAUAUGGUUCGACAGUGUGCAAGGCUGCCCUAUAUGCUCCACCUAAGGGUUCACCCUUCAACAUACCUACAAAGCUAAAUCAAGGAACAAAGUUGUACUUGAAAUCCAAAGACAAGUACGAGGUUGUGCUCAAGGCUAAGCCAUUUGCUUAUGCUUCAAAGAAACAUUUCAAAGAAUGUGAGAAGCCUAAGCCUUCACCAACUCCUUACUACUACAAAUCACCUCCACCUCCCUCACCAGUUUACAAAUACAACUCACCACCUCCACCGGUCCAUUAUUAUUCACCUCCAUACACCUACAAGUCACCUCCUCCCCCUGUGAAAGCGGCACCAACUCCUUACUACUACAAAUCACCUCCACCACCCGCACCGGUUUACAAGUACAACUCACCCCCUCCACCGGUCCAUUAUUAUUCACCACCAUAUACCUAUAAGUCACCUCCUCCCCCUGUGAAAGCGGCACCAACUCCUUACUACUACAAAUCACCUCCACCUCCCGCACCGGUUUACAAGUACAACUCCCCACCUCCACCGGUCCAUUAUUAUUCACCUCCAUAUACCUACAAGUCACCUCCUCCCCCUGUGAAAGUGGCACCAACUCCUUACUACUACAAAUCACCUCCACCACCCGCACCGGUUUACAAGUACAACUCACCACCUCCACCGGUCCAUUAUUAUUCUCCACCAUACUACUACAAGUCACCACCCCCACCAUCUCCAUCACCUCCUCCACCAUACUAUUUCAAAUACUAUUACAAGUCCCCACCUCCACCAUCACCAUCCCCUCCUCCACCUUAUUAUUACAAAUCUCCUCCUCCACCAAAACAAAUUUCACACCCUCCAUACUACUAUAAGUCACCACCCCCACCAUCACCAUCACCUCCUCCACCAUACUAUUAUAAGUCUCCACCUCCACCAUCACCAUCUCCCCCACCACCUUAUUAUUAUAAGUCACCACCCCCACCAUCCCCGUCCCCUCCUCCACCAUACUACUACAAGUCUCCACCUCCACCUAAAGAAAUAUCACAUCCUCCAUAUAACUAUAAGUCACCACCCCCACCAUCACCAUCCCCUCCCCCUCCAUACUAUUACAAAUCUCCUCCACCACCAUCACCAUCACCACCACCUCCCUACUAUUACAAAUCACCUCCACCACCAUCACCAUCACCUCCCCCUCCAUACUAUUACAAAUCUCCUCCACCACCAUCACCAUCACCACCACCUCCUUACUAUUACAAAUCACCUCCACCACCAUCCCCAUCACCACCACCUCCAUACUACUACAAAAGUCCCCCUCCACCAUCUCCAUCUCCUCCAUCCCCAUAUUACUACAAAUCUCCACCACCACCAUCACCAUCCCCACCCCCUCCCUACUAUUACAAAUCACCUCCACCUCCCUCACCAUCACCGCCACCUCCUUACUAUUACAAAUCACCUCCACCUCCCUCACCAUCACCGCCACCUCCUUACUAUUACAAAUCUCCCCCACCUCCAUCUCCAUCUCCACCACCUCCUUACCACUAUCAAAGUCCUCCUCCACCAUCUCCCAUUUCUCAUCCUCCCUACUACUACAAAUCCCCUCCACCACCAUCGCCGUCUCCUCCACCUCCUUACCACUAUGUGAGUCCUCCCCCACCAGUAAAGUCACCUCCACCACCAACUUAUAUCUAUGCUUCACCACCACCACCUCACUACAACUAAGCUCAAAGAGCAGAAGCUCCGUUCAUUAUAAAUCAUGUAAGUUUAUCAUCUUCAAUUUUCUGAAUGUGUGCGUGUGUAUUUGUUUUUUUGUUACAAGAUACUAACAAAAUUCUUUUCUUAUUUAUGUUCAGGUUUUAGUUUUCAUCUAGGAAUAAAGGCAAGCUCCAUUUGGAGUAAAGUGAAACUUCUAGCUUCGUGUCCGAAUUCGUUAAAUAAAUGUCGGGAUGUAUCGUCUUUGAGCUAUAAUAUUUCUGAUCCAGACAAUAUCUAUUUUGUUUCUUUGGUGGCAAUCUUGCACUUCCUGGUCUUAGUCUAUUCAAGUGACAGACAAAUCAAAAGGGAGAAGCGAGAUUAAUUUAUUUGUGAUCUCUUUGAUUUAUUUGUGCAUAUAUCAAUAUGAACGUGUAUGAUAUUUUUCUAUUUAUUGAAGAUUUUUUUACUGUAACCUGUUAUUGUGUUUGUCAAAAGGUGUUAAUAAAGAAUCACAUUCAAUUUCUGUUAAAUUAUCAGUAUUUGUUUCUUUCUAACAACUACCAUUCAUGCAAAUGUGGCUAUUAAAAAAAGCUCCAAUGACACAUAAAAAGCUUCCAAACAAUAUAUAAACAAAGAUGCAUUGUUUUCUGUUAAGAAGGGGACAGGGUUACGGUUACUUGUGUACCAAGUUAGUUAUCCAUGCUUUCUUGUUCAUAGGAUUUAUAUGGUGUAGUUGCACUUAGUUGCUAAAUGUAUGCAAGCUUUUCCUUUCUAUAAAUAAGCACACCUACUAUCAUUCUUCUCCACAUUCCUUUCUACUCUUCUAUCAUGAAUUGUUCAUCCACAUAAGAUGGUCACAGAGCACACCUAAUACUCUGCUACUGGUGUAUCAGUUCCUUUCCACCAGAAACUUAUGAUCUCUAAUUGAAAGAGAUCCUAAAGUUUUAAGAUUUCUACAAAAUACAUUAUUCUCAUUUUUGUACAAGUAUGAUACAAUUAUUCCCAAGUAUUAUUUAUUCUAAGGAAUAGAAUUUAGUUGUGGUUUCUCUAUUUAACCAACAUUUAUUUUUAAAUAACUAAAUUUAAAAAAAAAAUCCUGAAAUUAUUAAGUACAUACCUAACACAUUGUAAAAUUUUGUUCCCAAAGAAAAUAUUUUUGGCAAUAGAAUUUUCAGGAACUUCAUUCCUAGGAAUAUAAUUCUAUACUAAGAGAAGAGCUUAAGCAUUGAUACAUAACAAGACCAAUCCAUAUCCUAAUCACAAUCCUACUUUCACUAAAUACUUUCACUUAAGUGUGGUCUUGGAAAGGACAAAUGAAGAAAGACAUUCCAGAGGUAUGGUAAGGGACAAUAUCUGCAGUUAUGCACAUAUUGCAAGAUUGUGAGGAACUACCGGACUGAUUUGAUUCACCAAAAAAUUUGGAAUAAAUAUUUCAGCCCAGAACUCAGACAAUGACUGGAUUGGAACCUUUCAGCUUCUAAUAUCGGUACUGUCCAAGGAAAUAGUCAUUCUCUUUUUGGAGUAGCUGUGAAGGAUUUAUGGAAAGAUAGAACUAAGCUGGUCUUUUCUAGAAACACCGCGAUUGGAACUACUCUAUUUUGGCUUGUAGCCAAUCCGGCUAAGUUUAUUAACAAUGUAGUUUGUACUCAAGCUCACAGUCACGAUGUUGUCAGCAACAGUGGGCAUAUUGUUUAGGUAGCCUGGAAUUUUCCUCCCCAACACUUCUUCAAAGUGAAUAUGAUGGAUCUCUACGGGAUUAUGUUAGUUUCCAGGAUCGAACUCAGAACCUCCUGAUUAUAACUCCUUCAAUGUAUGUCCCUUACCCACGUGGGGCCUCGGCUGUAAUUGUUAACAUGGUAAAAUUUGGCUCUUCCAAUAAUGGUUUUAUCCAAACUCGAGGUUGUUUAUCGUCUCCAACAAUCAGAUUGGAGAAUACUAGUGGUUCAUGCAUUUGAACAAACCAACUGUUGUGCAGAUUUUCUAGUUGAUUUUGUUUUUCCUUUUUUGAGUAUUUUAUUAGCCAAUGAUAUAAGAGGUUGUAGCCUACCUCUUUUGAUUUCUUAAGACAAUCACUUUUGCAUUAGAAAAAAACGACCCUACAUAAAAUUAAUGAUUGAAUUAAGAUAUAACUUCAGUUUGAAAUAUUGUAAAAUUCUAUACCACCAAAAACUGAGAAUUUUAGAACCAUACAGGUUGGUGGAGUGGUCAUCCAGAUAACUUUAACAUAAUUAACAGUCCAAAAAGUAAAUAGCUUUAUCCUUUAUUUUCAAUCUGAUGUGAUUUACUCUUAUCUGUUAAACAUUAUAAUUAAGAAUCCAAAGGGAACACUCACCUAAUCUCUCUCUUUUUUCUAGCUUUUUCACUAAACCACUGUGUCUGUGGUUACCACAUUUCCUUAUGGAAUCAAUAUCCAAUUUAUGUUAAAAACCAUUUCUACAUUUUGUGUUAAAAAUGAUCUAAACAAAGAUGAUUUAUUUCUCUUAAAUUCAACAUAGAUCAUAUUUACAUGGUUCAAACUUUCUAUUACACGGCAUUGACUUAGUUGCUUCACAUGGGGACACAACUAAUGCAUAUAUUAUUUUAUAUGCUUAUAGUAAUUUUAACAAGUGGCAAUGGGGCAUAUGUUUUGUCAAAAAAACACAAAAAACAGGAGGCAUGUGCAACUGAAGUCACUGCCAGCUUGGCACUAAGAUAUAGUAAAAUAAUUGACAUUUGAAGAAAACAAAGACGUUGCUACAUUUCUAUUCAAACAAGCGACAUCAAUAUCAGACAAUGGUGCUACAUUUAAUAAUACUACAGCUAUCCCCAUAAGCACCUCUUAGAAAGAAAAAAAAAUAUCCAUUAAAUUAAUGUUGGAAGAGUUAGCAACAUGUCCUCUCCCAAAAAAACUCAUGUUUGAUUCCUAGAGUCGUCCAUUUCGAAAGAAGCUCAACCCUGAUAAUAAAAACCUAGAUGUUAUGCUGCAGACUUAAAGAUCAAUUUCAUAAUGGAUCCAAAGGGCCUAAGCUGUGUGGGAUACUUAAGGGGGUAUAUUGAGGCUAAGGGUCAAAGAUCUUAAUUAUGGUCGGUUAAAAAAAGAAGAAAAAAAAAUUAUCUCUAAAUAUAAAGUCAACAAUAUUUCAAAUUGCAAGAUACAUUUAUUUAUUUUUUAAAUAUGUAUAUACCUCUUAUUAAUACUUACUAAUUUGUUUUGAGUGAUAAAAAGUUACGAGUUAGACAGAUCAGCACAUAAAAAAAGUAUUUGAAAAACAUCUACCAACAAAAUAAACACAUUAAAAACAAUACUACUUUUUUACAAUACUGUAUGUGAAAAUGACAAAAUCUUGAAAAAGAUGGAGGUAACAUGUACUCUUUUUUUUUUAGAGGGGAGCAUGUACUUUUCCACUAACAAUGUUGAUAAGAAACAUAUAAAAUACUAUUAGAGAAAGAAAAAAAAUAAUAAAUAAAGAAAUAUAUAAAAUACUGAGGAAUGACUCACUCAUGUCAAAUUUUAGCAAGGGAGAAGUGAUAUCACAUCAUUUUAGAAGAGGAAUGAGAAUAGAUAGAUCUAAUUUUUCUAGUAAGUUUGAAUAGUAGAAUCAUACUUCUUUGUCUUUUGUGAAAAUUUCAUAUUAUGGGAUCUAUUACUAGAAUACAGGUGAUUUUAUUCUGGAAGAUUGACUUUUUAUUAAAAUAAAAUAAAAGUACAUUUUUUAUUUCCAAAUGCUUAGUUGUUCAUUUAUAAAUAUUACAUUAUCCAACAGCACCAAACCCUAUUUCAUAACGGUACUCUGCACGUUUCAUUCAUUUACUGGUGCCUUAGUUUUUUGUUACAAACAGACAUUGAUCAGAGGAACAAAUGUAGAGACAAAUUGAAGAUAAUAUAUCACAUAAUAUUGUAGACACACCUUCACAUACAAAUGGGGUAAAGUCCCUCAUAGUAGUAUUAGAAAUAACACUUAGAGUAAAAUUUUGCUAAAUUUAACAUGAAAAUAAGUGUAAUGUAUUUUAUAGGCAGCUAUACAUAAUUAUUAAUUAGAACAAUUUUUUACACUGUCAAACAAAAAUUGAACAAUUUUUUACUAGCUUUAUGCUUUAUGAUGUUUUGAUUCCAUGUGCACAUUUCAAUUUUAGAACUAUUCCUUUCUAUGUUACUGAAAUAAUUCUAUCAUUAGGCAUUGACAUUUCCAUUAUGCGUGCACGUUAAAGUGUUUUCCCAAACAGAGAAAUAUUAAGAAAGGUUAAACUUUUGACUUAAAGACACAACUAAAAUAAGAUCCAAGGAAAACCCCAUUGAUUAUUUCUUGCACAAAAUUAAAAACCCCAUUGAUUAUUUCUUGCACAAAAUUAAAAUGCUAAUAAUUUUUCCUGGUCUAUAUUUUUCUCCUUCCGGGAAAUGGCAACAUCACAUGUUCAUCUCAUAAUUGAGAAAACACAUGUCUGGGAAAAUAUCUUAAAGAAAAGGCAGUAAAGUAAUAAAAAGUGCACCAAAUAGAGAUUAACUAGUACUCUUUGCAUGUCAACUAAGUGGUAUAAUUAUGUAUAUCACAUUCUUAAUAUUGAUUAUCUUGAUUGCACGAUAAGCCCCUCAAAUUGCUCAAUCGAUGAUUGCUUGAUAAGCCCAUCAAAUUGCCCAAUCGAUCGAAUCGUAACUUUCGAUAGACAUUUUUUUUAAGAAAACCCAAUUGGAUCAUAACUCCCCAUAGUCAUUUAUUUGAAAUUGUGAGCAAUUUGAUAACUUAUUGAGCAAUCACCAUUGAUUUUAGUCUCAAUUUAUCCUAAUGUUGUAACCCUGGAAUAAUGGAACAGUGAGUAAAUUUGGUUUCUCCGUCUCAAAAUAAGUGUCACAAUUUAACCAUGUGCACUACUCAUCAAAUCUACUUUGACAACAUUUUUUUUACUAAUAUAUAAAGACAAUGUUAGUACAUUACAUGUUCGAUUUGUCUUAGUUAAUGUUUUUAAAAUAUCGACUUUAUUAUAAUUUUUCUUAAUAGACAAUCAAAAAUAUCAAUUGUCAAAAUUGUGUAUUGAUAUGUAUGAAAAUCAAACUAUAACACUUACUUUGAGACGAAGAGAAUAACUAUUAAAAACUAAUGUUCAAAUAGAAAGAAAAGAAAACAAAGAUUCCAUACAAAGCUUGCAAAAUAGCUACAAUCAUAACCUAGAACAAAAAUCAUGACCACACACUAUAUCCAUUUUCCUUUUCCUAAAAAGCAAUUGAAGAUAAAAAAAAAAAAAAUAAUAAAUAAAAAAAAAAAAAAAAAAAAAAAAAANACCACCAUACUACUACAAAUCCCCACCUCCACCAUCGCCUUCUCCUCCACCACCAUACUACUACAAAUCCCCACCUCCACCAUCGCCUUCUCCUCCACCACCAUACUACUACAAAUCCCCACCUCCACCAUCGCCUUCUCCUCCACCACCAUACUACUACAAAUCCCCACCUCCACCAUCGCCUUCUCCUCCACCACCAUACUACUACAAAUCCCCACCUCCACCAUCGCCUUCUCCUCCACCACCAUACUACUACAAAUCCCCACCUCCACCAUCGCCUUCUCCUCCACCACCAUACUACUACAAAUCCCCACCUCCACCAUCGCCUUCUCCUCCACCACCAUACUACUACAAAUCCCCACCUCCACCAUCGCCUUCUCCUCCACCACCAUACUACUACAAAUCCCCACCUCCACCAUCGCCUUCUCCUCCACCACCAUACUACUACAAAUCCCCACCUCCACCAUCGCCUUCUCCUCCACCACCAUACUACUACAAAUCCCCACCUCCACCAUCGCCUUCUCCUCCACCACCAUACUACUACAAAUCCCCACCUCCACCAUCGCCUUCUCCUCCACCACCAUACUACUACAAAUCCCCACCUCCACCAUCGCCUUCUCCUCCACCACCAUACUACUACAAAUCCCCACCUCCACCAUCGCCUUCUCCUCCACCACCAUACUACUACAAAUCCCCACCUCCACCAUCGCCUUCUCCUCCACCACCAUACUACUACAAAUCCCCACCUCCACCAUCGCCUUCUCCUCCACCACCAUACUACUACAAAUCCCCACCUCCACCAUCGCCUUCUCCUCCACCACCAUACUACUACAAAUCCCCACCUCCACCAUCGCCUUCUCCUCCACCACCAUACUACUACAAAUCCCCACCUCCACCAUCGCCUUCUCCUCCACCACCAUACUACUACAAAUCCCCACCUCCACCAUCGCCUUCUCCUCCACCACCAUACUACUACAAAUCCCCACCUCCACCAUCGCCUUCUCCUCCACCACCAUACUACUACAAAUCCCCACCUCCACCAUCGCCUUCUCCUCCACCACCAUACUACUACAAAUCCCCACCUCCACCAUCGCCUUCUCCUCCACCACCAUACUACUACAAAUCCCCACCUCCACCAUCGCCUUCUCCUCCACCACCAUACUACUACAAAUCCCCACCUCCACCAUCGCCUUCUCCUCCACCACCAUACUACUACAAAUCCCCACCUCCACCAUCGCCUUCUCCUCCACCACCAUACUACUACAAAUCCCCACCUCCACCAUCGCCUUCUCCUCCACCACCAUACUACUACAAAUCCCCACCUCCACCAUCGCCUUCUCCUCCACCACCAUACUACUACAAAUCCCCACCUCCACCAUCGCCUUCUCCUCCCCCACCUUACUAUUACAAAUCCCCACCGCCACCUUCACCAUCUCCCCCACCACCCUACUACUAUAAAUCACCCCCACCACCUUCACCAUCUCCUCCACCACCAUACUACUACAAAUCACCCCCACCGCCAUAUGAACACAAGACUAAACCAUACUAUUACAAGUCUCCUCCACCACCAUAUGAACACAAGACUAAACCAUACUAUUACAAGUCCCCACCACCACCUUCACCAUCUCCUCCACCACCAUACUAUUACAAGUCCCCACCACCACCUUCACCGUCUCCACCCCCACCAUACUACUACAAAUCACCUCCUCCUCCAUCACCUAUUCCCCAUACACCUUACUACUACAAGUCCCCACCACCACCUAAGGUUCUUCCACCACCAUACUAUUACAACUCUCCUCCUCCACCUGUUGUGUAUCAUCACCCUCAUCCCUACCACCAUGCAUUGAUCGUGAAGGUAGUGG
rnacentral:lncRNA from 1 species